GGCGCCUCAGAAAUCGUCUGCUUCCAGUCGAUGUCACUUCUCGAAAAAUUCUGCGCUUCGCUCCGCAGCUGAGGUAGUCGCACGCCCCUGGCAUUUUUAUUUGUAUAGUUUACUAUUCAGUUUGGUAGCAGGCUGGUUAGCCCGGGACUGUUCACAACGAGAAACGCUACGAAAUCGCGGAAAGUCGUGUGGGUCUCGUCUAUUGGAUAUGCUCUCCGAUAGUUACUUUACCACGACCAGAUUUCGUUCGCGUGCGAAUGCGGUAACUGUCUCCUGCACCCAACGCCUACAAACGAACGAGAGCGCCUACUCGGAUGAGCAACCGUAAGGAAUUCCAACGAGAUGGCCAGAAAAGUGCGAGAGCUGCUCCCAUGUGAAUGCCGCCGAGCGCAUGCGAGAAACUCGGCGAAGUGCUGCGUGCAUCGUCUCCUCUUUUUAACCGCCCCUCCGCGUCGUCUGCUCACGCUUCAAGGCUACGUUCCGGCUGCUUGACCCGCUGGUCCACAUAAAACCCACGACGCACGCUACGAGCACCUCCUUAUAUAAGCGCUCGCUUAUUUCGUAUUGCUUUUGUUGUUGUAGGGCGGGCGCCAAAAAGGGGGGAUGUUCGCUGGAGGGUAUAAUUGUCAUGCUUUCUCUCUCUCUCUUUUUUUUUUCUUGCAGCACGUAAGCCCACUUCUGUUAUUCACGCUAAAUUAUGUGCCCAGGAGGGCGCAAAACAAAACAAAAAACAACGGAAUCUUUGACAGCCUCGUUGAGUAAUAGUUUACUGUGCGGAAAAAAAAAGCAGAUAACAAUCAACCUGGUCCCGAAGCUUACAGUCGUUUGAGACUGAAUAUGAACGUGUAAUGGUGUGCUAAAAAAAAAAAAAAACCAAGAGUAAAGCA